UGUAUGCAUUUAUUAAGCUGAGCUGAAACAUGUGCAAAGUUGACAUUAACGUGAAUAAAUUGAUAUCUUGUGUAUUGGAAAUCGAGCUUUUAAAAAGUGGCUAUUCUCACAAUUGUAAUGGACCAAAUUUAUUAAUAGAAAUCAAUGGAAUGUUCAUAUGCUCAAUACAUUACCUGUGUGUGUGUGUGUGUGUGUGUGUGUGUGUGUGUAGAGAGGUAGGCAGUCUGCUUACCACGUACUGUACAGCUCCACUCCUAAUCCACCACAGUGUUGCCAUGCUAUGUAUUGCUUCCUGACCGCCUGUGUUGCCAUUGUACCAAGGUGAAGUCAAUAAAAUGUCGACAAAUG